rnacentral:rRNA from 1 species
UACAGAGGGUGCGAGCGUUGUCCGGAAUCACUGGGCGUAAAGGGCGCGUAGGUGGCGGCAUAAGGCCGUGGUGAAAGUCUGGGGCUCAACCCCAGAUCGGCCGCGGCGACUGUGUCGCUAGGGCACCGUAGAGGCAGAUGGAAUUCCGGGUGUAGCGGUGGAAUGCGUAGAGAUCCGGGAGAACACCAGUGGCGAAGGCGGCGUCCUGGACCAACACUGACACUGAGGAGCGAAAGCCAGGGGAGCAAACGGG